GCUCAGAUGAAACGCUGGCGGCGUGCCUAAUACAUGUAAGUCGAACGGGAGACAGGUAGCAAUAUUUGUCUCUAGUGGCGAACGGGUGAGUAACGCGUGGAUGACCUGCCCCGAAGCGGGGGAUAACGGCUCGAAAGGGCUGCUAAUACCCCAUGUGGAUACGGGAGUUAGAGAACCGUAUGUAAAGGCGCAAGCCACUUCGGGAGGGAUCUGCGACCCAUCAGCUAGUUGGUAAGGUAACGGCCUACCAAGGCGACGACGGGUAGGGGGCCUGAGAGGGUGGCCCCCCACAAUGGAACUGAAACACGGUCCAUACACCUACGGGUGGCAGCAGUAGGGAAUAUUGCACAAUGGACGAAAGUCUGAUGCAGCAACGCCGCGUGUGCGAAGAAGGUCUUCGGAUCGUAAAGCACUUUUCGGGGAGAUGAGGAAGGACAGUAUCCCCGGAAUAAGUCUCGGCUAACUACGUGCCAGCAGCCGCGGUAAAACGUAGGAGGCAAGCGUUAUCCGAAUUUACUGGGCGUAAAGCGUGUGCAGGCGGCUCGAUAAGUUGGAUGUGAAAUCUCCUGGCUCAACUGGGAGAGGUCGUUCAAAACUAUCGGGCUCGAGGGCAGUAGAGGGAGGUGGAAUUCCGGGUGUAGUGGUGAAAUGCGUAGAUAUCCGGAGGAACACCAGUGGCGAAAGCGGCCUCCUGGACUGCACCUGACGCUCAUACACGAAAGCUAGGGGAGCGAACGGGAUUAGAAACCCCGGUAGUCCUAGCCGUAAACGAUGUGAACUGGGUGUCGGCGGGGUAAAAGCCGCCGGUGCCGAAGCCAACGCGAUAAGUUCACCGCCUGGGGACUACGGC
rnacentral:rRNA from 1 species